rnacentral:lncRNA from 1 species
CAGCUCCAGAGUACAAGCCUGAAGAAUGCUUGGACAUGUACAGUAGAUGGCUAUCUAAGAGGGCUUUGUAGGAACAGCCAAAUAAGGUAAUUUGCUCUGUUAGCUAGGACUAAACUUGGGAUCCUAUUCGUAUCAAAGUCUGAGGGUAGAUUUUGUUCACCAAUAAAGUUUAUGUUCAUUCUUGGAACAUAUACCUUAUCAUUAAUACUAUAUUGAAGACAAUACAAGAGUUUUUGUUUGGAUCAAAAUAAAUGGAUGAUGAAGUCUGUAGGAUCGUGUGACUUGUACUGUUUAGAAGAAUUACUUUUUGAACCAAUCGGAUUAAAUAUUGCUGAAAGAAAAACCAAUUAUAUACACUCGUUAGCUCUCAAUAUUGAAUAUCAACUGGGGUAGACAUUCAUAUUGAAUAUCUGGCACGUUUUGGAUCCUACGUCAAAAAACUAAGGAAAUUCUAGUUUGGUUUUCCUGUCUAGAAAAUAAAACAGAAAACUAGUGCAAUUAUUUUAAAAUUAAAAUUAACUUAUUAAUUAAUAACAAAAUAAUAUCCAAAAAAUAAUUUAUAAUUAAACAAAUUUAUGAGUUAUUUAUAAAACAUAUGGAAUAAUAUAUACAUAGAAAUUUAUAGUAUACUAAAGUAACUUCAUAAUUUUAUUAAAAUUAAAUUGAAUAAAAAAUAAUUAUUUUAGGGUAUUUUUUAAACAUAAGAAAAAUAGGACAAUAAAUUUAAUGUUUUAAAUAUGUAUAUGUUAUUCUUAAUUUUAAUUAUUUAAUUUAAUUAUAAGUUUAUUUAUGUGCAUAUAUAAUAAUAAUACACUUUUUUUGUUUUUUAGGAAAACUUUACUAUUUAUUAUUUUGUGAGAGUGCAGUUUUGAAAUUGUAGACAGUUGAGUUUUAACACUGCUUACGUUAGACCUGAGGUAGGGGAGAAAUAAAAUUUGUGUUUUUAUUUAUUUAUUGUGGGUCUAAUCCAUGUGACUAACGUGGUUCAAAUAAUUAAUUUAAGGGAAUAUUUAAACUUUUAACUUUUAUUAUUAAAUAACUAAGUGAUGUACUCACGCCUAACAGUAAGGGAAUCUCUCUGUCUUUCCGUCAAUAAGCAACAAAAAAUUCUCCACAAAGCAAUUCUCGUUUUACAUCAUCAAUGAUAAUUAUCUUUUUUAAAGAACAUUAUCAAAUUUACUAACUUUAGUAUAUUAAAUUUCAUAUAAUUUCAAUAAACAAAUUUCACUUCAACAAAACAUUCCAAAUAUAUCAAUAAUAUAAAAUUAAUUUUAUAUCUAAAGACAUAACAAAUUAGCAUUAUAUUAUAGAAGUAACAUCUAAAAGAAUAAGAUUACUAAAUAAAAAAUGAUCAUAUAUUUAAAUUUUGUUUGUUUUACUUUCAUAAAAAUAUGUAUAUAUAAUAUUAUUCAUAAAAAGAAAAACAUGUUUUUUUUAAGAUUUAUAAAAAGAUAAUAUAAAUAUUAUAGGAAUGUUUGUUUAUUUUACAUUAAUUAUCAGUAAUGUAGCUACUUGUGAACGUUAGAGCAAAUCUAAUAAUAUUAAUUAAAACUAAUAUAACUACACAUAUGAAUAGAUUCUCUCUCAAGUAACUACGACAUCUGAAUUUUAAACCUCAUUCAAAUCAUCAACUUGUAAUUAGUUGAAUUAGGUUAAAUUAAAUCAACCCAUUGCUAUAAUAUUCUUCAAUAAUAAUAAUAAUAGUAAUAAAAUAUGGGUUUAGGUAUAGAAGAAGCCACACACCAAACAUGACAUAAAAUAAAAAUGAGAAUUAAAAUAAAAAAUGUAAAGCUGAUUUUGGCGGGUCUGAAUUUCGCUAUAAACAAGAACUCCUAUUGGAAUAUUCCUUAGCCACAGCGCAAAACACACCGAAAGGAGUCUCUGUUUUUGGGUUGCAAUCUCUGGAUCCGUCGUUACUGACGGCAUGGCCGCUUCCAAUGGCUUCGUCGACGGCGCCGCCACUUCCACUCCUUCGGAAUCGGCGUUGAUCUUUCUCGGAACUGGUUGUUCUAGCAUGGUUCCCAAUCUCAUGUGCCUCCUUCAACCCUCCAACCCUUCCUGCUCCGUCUGCUUCCAGUCAUUGUCUAUCCCUCCCGAACGAAAUUCCAAUUACUGGUCCUUCACUUUCUCCUUCCCCUUCCCUUCUUCCAUUUCAAGAAAAAGGCUUCAAAAUCUCAAUUUGCAGGUGAAACACGUCUCUCCUGAUUGACUACUGCGGCGACGCCAACUAUCGCAAGUAUAUAUUGAUCGAUGUUGGCAAGACCUUCAGGGAGACGAGGAGAGAGACAGAAAGACAUACGAAAAUAAGUGAGAUAUAGAGCAAUGAGCUUCACCAUUUUUAAAAAAUUUCUCCACCUUAUUUCGCCUCUUUCAAACACACCACCUUCUUUCAAUCUAUCUCUCCUGUAUUUCUCACCUACCUGACACACCCCAAAAGAAGCACUCUUCUCAUCAUAACUGAAGCAAAGCUUAAUGGAGUGGCUUGCUUCCACUUUUUCGUCCUCAGGGUAAAAUUGGCUCCUAAAUACCGUUGUUGUUUUGAUAAAUGAUGUGAUUUCUAUCUUAUCUCUAAUUUACCGGACUACGGGUGAUAUUCUGAAAGUUUAUCAAUUGAAUGAGAAAAUUUGUGGUACUCAGCCUUUUUAAAUUCCUGAGAUUGUAAAAGUCUGUUUGCUUAUGAAGGUAGAAAGUCUUUUAAGUGUUCAUCGACUAGAAAAAGAUUUAUAUUUUCAGUUGAUAAACUCUCUCAAGCUCUUCUAGCUUGUACCCAAAUAGGCCCUAAACUAUUUUAGUACAUGCUUGGAUUUUGGCUAUACGCACAAUGUCCUUUCUUGAUAAAUGUCAAGGAUAUUUUGAACAGUAUUCUCUGUUGGUGUUUCUCUAAAAGAACCGACUUAAAAGAUGCCCAACCUAGGGAUGCAAACAUGAAAUACUAGUCUGAAGAUCGGGAGCCCCGUGGUUCCUUUAGUUUCCUCUAUUUUGUAAUUUCCUUAGAUAUUUGGUACAAUGAAAAUGGAGAUCUUAAAUAAUACCUAGAAAUAAAAUUAAUGUUACUUUUACUUCAGAUUCACGAUAUUAUUAGGAGAUUCAGUCUGUCAGAUAAGUGCAGAGAGUCAUAAGAAGGCUCAUCUCCAUCCUAUUUAAAAAUCAGGGUCAUAUUUUGCUGAGUAUUACUAUAAAAGUGUAGUUAUUAUUAUCAUAAAAUUAGUAUUUAUUAUUUAUCACCUCAGAUAGAGAUACUUUAGAAGAGUUUGGUUAUCUCAGUGCACCUGAAAUUUAAGGGAUAUUACAUUUCAGAUAUAUGCUGGUAAAGGUAUCUAGUUUAUGCCAUGAAGAGAGGGGACAGGUCCAUGGUGAAACCAUCAAAAUAUUUCGUAGAAAUCAGUAAUGUUGUCAUUCUGUGAAUCUGUGUAGUCAAUAUAACUGGUAAGGUGAGCAGACAAAGCAAUGAAUCGUACCACUAAUGAUUAACAAAAUCAGAGUUGAAGUUUUUUAGUUUACUUAUUGUAAGAAAUUAGCAACUUAAGCAGGGCCUCUUAAGAUUUAUAGUUGCCAAUUGCCAUUGAUUAAUUGUGAAAUCUGAAUAUAUGGAACCAUUCUGCAAAGAAAAAAUUAUUCACAGCAGCAAUCCUGAGGUUCAGUGAAAAUUUUACAUCCUGCCAGGAAACAGAGUCGUUUUGGAAAAAAAUAAACAUAUAAAUGAUUCAUAAGCCAUGACGCUUGCUAAUAUUUGAUAUGAAACUUCAGAACAUUUAUUGAUAGAAUUAUGUGCUUACCAUAGUUUUACAAACUUUUACCUAUAUUAUUUCCUUGCAAUUUGCAUUUACCUACCUGAAUCUCACUUUAUCUGAAAAACAAAUUUAAUCGUUCUUGAUUUGCAGAUUAUUUUAACUCAUGAACAUGCUGAUGCAGUCCUUGGAUUGGAUGAUAUACGUGCUGUGCAGCCUUUUAGUCCAACAAAUGAUAUUGAUCCCACACCCAUAUAUCUAAGUCAACAUUCAAUGGAUAGGUAACUCUAUUAGCGACUUAUUGUUUUUUAAUUAAAUAUUGGUAAUAUUAACCUACUACAUGAUUUAGCUAAUAUAACAUGAAACUUCCAUCUAAUUUCAAAACACCUUCAUACACAUCUGUUAAGAAUAAGGCACCACCAUACAAUAUAACCCUAACCAUCAAAUAGUAACCGAACCAUCAUUCCUGACUCAAUUGCAAAAUUAUAGUCAAAUACCCUAAAUAUCAAGACUUCGACAAUUUAACCUUCAGUGGGUAAAUGGGCCUGGGAAACACCCUGUGCGGGACCAUUGCUACCAUUGAUUUUAGUUAUUCUUUCUAUCACUUGCUUAAACUGGAAGUUCUGACAUAUCACUUGCACACUAGAUAAACUUAGUUACUUAAGAAAAUAUAGAUUAACAAAUCACAUUUUAUUACAUGUCUUUAAAAAAAAAAUCAUCACAUGUAUUUCAUGGUUAAUUAACACAGGAAGGUUAGUGACAUUUUUUUGUAACACACUUCAUGAUUGAUAGAAAUUUAUUGAAAAUCAUUGAUUUUGGUGGGUCUCACUUGUAAAUUAGGAGAGUCAUUAUUAGAAGUGUGACCCAUCAAAGUUAGCGGUUUCCAAUAAUUUCAGCCAAUCAGAGAGAAUGUUACCACGAAUGUUGCUAGCUUUCCUCUUCUUAACACAAAAUAUAUCUCAUUAACACAAAAGGCAGCUAGUUGCACCACUAGUUGUGAUAGUCAGUUAGUUAAGUUAAAACUUAACAUUCAGUAUGGACUUUGAUUUUCAACAUAGAUUAUGUGAUUCAAUUCAAGUUCCUACCACAGAUAAUUAUAUAGCCUUUCUAAAAUUAUUAUCAUGCAAGCCUUUGAGAUGAAAUCAGUGCUUUGUCUGCACUUCUCAACUAUUGUAUUUGAACGCUCGUAUAUCUGGAAAAUGAUAUUUUCUUGAAUCUUUAUCGGAUGCCCCUUUCAUUUGUUUUCAUGGUUGUCUUAUGCUCUCCAGUAGUUGAAUCUAUGUUUUAAAUCUUUGCAACAGCAUAGCAGAGAAGUUUCCUUAUUUGGUUCGGAAAAAGCUUAAGGAGGGAGAAGAAGUACGAAGAGUGGCUCAAAUUGACUGGAACAUUAUUAAUGAUGACUGCAACCAACCUUUUUCUGCAUCAGGAUUAAAAUUCACUCCUUUACCAGUUAAUUUCCAGGAUCUUCGUUGUUAAUGGCGAUGAUGCAGCACCUUUGUUAUAAGGAUUUAACUGUUUCUUUAUAAUAUAGGUUAUGCAUGGAGAGGAUUACAUAUGUUUGGGCUUUCUUUUUGGUGAGAAAAGUAGGGUGGCUUAUAUAUCUGAUGUUUCCCGGUUUCCUGCUAGUACAGAGUACGGUAUGUUUUACAUUAGUUUCUUCUUGCUUAAAGAGCAAUAAUAAAUUCAUGUAAAGAAAUUCAUUGAGUAGGAAUGUGCUUAAAGAGCAAUAUAUUUAUAAUUUAAAAUUUAAUUAAAAUUAAUUUAUAGUAUUAAGAAUACUAUUGUAAAGAAAUUCAUGUUAUUUUUUUUUUGUUUUUCCGUUAAUUUUUUGAAAAUUAUAACUUGACCUAUCUUGUUUUAUUAUACCCUUGUAUAUUUAAUAUUAAUUAAAUGUUUAAAUUUAUAAUUGAUUUUAAUAUAUUAAUUGAAAUUUUAAGCAAUUUAAAAUUUUGUUUAAAUAUUUUGUAGUUAACUUUUUUUCGUUUACAAUUUCAUUUUAUAAAAAUAUAUUUUUUAGUUUUUUACAUUUAUAGAAAAUGUCAGAUCAUUGAUUUUUUUUUUGUUAACUUAAUCAAUGGAUUAAAAAAUAAUACUUUAAUCAAAUACUUAGGUAUAAUAAUUUUUUAUCAUUUAUUUUAAAUAUAAGGAUAAUAUGAGAAUCGGACCUACUUAUCAUUAAAAUAUUAUACUUUAUUUGUCAGACGAGGUGAACAGUUCCUUGUGUAAGAGGAAAAUACUAAUUAUUAACAAUUAAAAUAAAAAUAAUAGUGUCGGUGUGAUCUAGAACUGGAGGCUCAGAAACUCUGUUAAGAGCCAUGGAAAUGCCCAGAGAGAAAAGGGGAAGAGCAUUAAAAAUGACAAACUUUAGUUCUAGUUACAGUACUUAUAGUUUUAUUUGCCACGGGGUUCUACUUCCCCUUCUGUUAUUGUUACAGUUCUUCUUUCAACUUGCACGGUGUGGCUCCACAGUUAAGUUCCUUCCUGGAUUCGAGGGACCCCUUCCUUUUGUUCUUGAAACAGGGUAAGUUACACUUGUGUUCAUGGAAUUAAAAUCUGUUGGUUGAAUGAAAACCAUAGACAUGUUAUGUGACAUUAUAUUUGUUUAAUAGAUAUGUGGGAGUGGGCGAAUCAGAGGAUGUGCAGGCAUUCUACUACUUCAUUGAGUCUGAGAAUAAUCCAAAAGAGGAUCCUCUCUUGCUUUGGCUCACUGGUGGCCCUGGUUGCUCAGCCCUCUCUGGCCUUGUCUUUGAAAUAGGUAACAGUGCCAUAAUUGUUUUUCAAUUUCUACUUUACUUCUUCUCAAUACUUAUGUAUGUAAUAGCCAAUUAGAUGAUUAUUUACUACAUUUGAAUGUUGCAGGUCCACUAGGUUUUAAGCAUGAGGAAUAUAAUGGAACCCUUCCAAAUUUAUUCUAUAGGUCAUACUCAUGGACUAAGGUUCCCAUUAUUAUGCUUGUUCCUUCAAACUGAUAUUUUAGCUUUUAUUUCAUCACAUCUUUUUGUUAUAAUGUUAUGCUUAUUUAUUGGUAUUUAAUAUUUAUCAUAAUUAUUUUUGGUAGGUUAGUAACAUUAUAUUUGUAGACUUGCCUGUUUUCACUGGAUUCACCUAUGCCACAACAGAGUCUGCUGCUCAACGAAGUGAUUGGAUGCUUGUUCACCAGGUCCAUCAAUUCCUGAGGAAGGUGUUCAUCCUUUUUCUUUUGUUUCUUUAUUUCACAAUCAUCACCUUUUUCUUUGUUUUUUUUUUUUUGGUUUUGUUUGUAGAUAAAUCUGUUAGUUAACUGAAUUGUUACAGUGAUUAUUAAAUGUUUGUAGUGGCUGAUUGAUCAUCCAACUUUUUUGUCAAACGAAGUUUACAUUGGUGGCGAUUCAUACUCUGGCAUUCCUAUUCCAGUGAUUGUUCAAGAAAUUUCACAAGGUAAAAAAGCUCUUUGUGAUUCAAUCUGCACUACAAAAUGGAACCACGAGCCAUAGGUAGAAAUUGAUGGCCGCUUACCUGUUUAGUGAUUGCCACAUUCUCUUGUUUUCAGGAAAUGAAAAAGGGGUACAGCCAUGGAUAAAUCUCCAGGUUAGCAUCUUAAAGUAUCUCUUUGAUGUUAGGUUUACAUUUUUCUACAACUAUUACUACAAUGUUUGUGUGCGGAGAGUCAGAGUAAUACGAAAAAUGGAAGUUUAGGAGUGAUUUUCUUAUAUACAUUCAUUUGUUUUCUACAAUGACUGCAUUAAGAAGCCAUGAAAAUUUCGAUGUAAGAUCUGCAAACUACUAAAACUGCUCACUGCUUGACCACCAUAUAUUCCAUGUAGUUAGUUAAUAUUAAACGCAAAGUUCUCCAAUUUAAAUUUGGACCAUAUACAAUUGUCAAAGAUGUGCAUUGAUACAAAAAUAAGAUGUUGGUCACUGUUUUUCUUCUAGAAAACGAAGAGGGGCAUAACUCCUUACAAAUGACUUCAGAAAAGUCAAAUUGUAUGCAAUCUUUGAUUAUAUGAUCAUCUUUUAGAAAAAUAAUAUUUUUUGGAUCCUUCAAAUAUUUGAUAAUUUUAUUAUAGUAAUAUAUUUAUUUAAUGCAACAAAAAACGACAUAAAAUAUUAAUACAUGUGUCAUUAACAGCUGUCAAAUUGAGAUUCUCAAUUUGUUAGCAGCAUUCUAUUCUUUGUCAAAACCAAAGAAACUGCUCCAUUGAUUUAGCAGCACUCUAUUUUAUAUAGUUUAUUCUUAAAUUUUAACAGAAUAAAAUAUUAUACCAAAAAUAAAAUUUAAAAUUUACAAUAUACUAUAAAUUUAUAAAUAUCAAAACAUUUUGGGUCAUGUCGGAUAUCACAAAACUGUAAUCUACUGUAUCUAUUUUAUCCAAUUUUAUUUAUCCAAUAACUUGUUUUGAAUUGCUUCGGGUAAGUCAGAAUAAACAAUCUUAUAAUAGUAAAAUAUUUUUCAAACAAUUAAAGGGAAUUAAUAUAAUAUAUAAGAGAUGUGAGGGUAACCUUGUUAAAAUAGUUAAAAAUAUUUUGUGUAUCGCUCUAGAAGGAAAGAAUAAGGGGCGAAAUCUGGAAAAAAAAUAAGAGGAUAGACAAAUGUAAUCUACUCAUCAUGAAAUGCUAUUUUUUCAGGGAUACCUGCUAGGGAAUGCACUUACUACUCGAAGAGAGAAUAACUCUCGAAUUCCCUUUUCUCAUGGAAUGGGACUUAUUUCUGACGAACUAUACAAUGUAAUUAUUCUAACUCAUCAACUGUUAUUCCUAAAAUUUGUGUUCAAGAAAAUUAAAUGCUAACUACACUCUCUUGUUACAAUGAAAAGUCACUACAAAAUAAUUGUAAAGGAGAGUACAUAGAUGUAGACACCAAAAAUGUAUUAUGUACUAGAGAUAUGGAGCUAUUCAAUGAGGUACGCAUCUUUGAUCUUUCCUUGCCAGAUUUUCGUUGGUAGCAUUUCUAAUCAAUAGAGACAAUCGCAAAGUCCAUCAUUGUUUCAUUGCCACAGACUACAUCAGGAAUUAGUUCUUCCUAUAUUUUGGGCCCAUCAUGUGAGGUUCUUGAUACUGAAACAUCUUGGAGGAGAUCACUAAUUAGGAAAUAUCCCAGCAGGAAUUUCCUAAAUUCUCGUCUCAAAUUGCCAUCCUUGAGCUGUUGGGUAAUCUUCAUGCCUUAUUCAAUCAGCAAUGUUUACUUAAUGCCUGUUUUCUAUAUAUUUAUGCAAUGAUACUUUUGCUAUAUCAUGCAUUGGUUGUUUAAUGUAAACUAACUAUCCAGACAUUUCCUAGUUUCAUUUGAAGCCAAUUUCUCUAAUUUGUGUUAACUUGAUGUUCAUCUCCUUUCUACUGUUAGAGCUAUGUAUACUUUCUCUGCAGUUUUUGGGCCAAUGAUGAUAAUGUUCGCACUGCAUUGCAUAUCCGUCAGGUGUAGUUGAUAUAAAUGACAGUAACUUUUCCACAUAUAAUUGGAUAUACAACUUCAUAUAACAUAAAUCUUGGUUGCAUGUGCUGCAGGGAAGUAUAGGACAAUGGCGUCGGUGUUCGAUGCAUAUACCUCAGAAGCAUGAUAUCCCAAGCAGUUUUGAGUAUCAUGUAAAUCUCAGUAAAAUGGGAUAUCGAUCGCUAAUAUACAGGUCAAUAUUCUUUCUCUAUGUUAAUAUGUUGAAUAAGGUAACACGGUUGAACUAAUUUGAAUUUCACAUACCAAAUAAAUUUUCUAUAUAACAGUGGCGAUCAUGAUCUUUUGAUUCCUUUCUUGGCAACUCAAGCAUGGAUAAGAUCUUUAAACUACUCCAUCGUGGAUGAUUGGAGGCAAUGGCAUACAGAUGGCCAAGUUGCAGGGUAUUCCACUAACCGUAGUUAUGUAGAUACCAGGCUUAAUUUAUCUAAAGCUGAUUAAAUUUGUGUUUUCCUGCAAAUAGAUACACAAGGACUUAUUCCAAUCGAAUGACAUUUGCAACUGUGAAGGCAAGUCUUUUUUGUUCUCCUUGCUGCUCUUGUGGGUCAAAUAUAGAUUCCAUUUGAUAAGUAUAUUCUAAAUGGGUGAACAAGGGUUAAGUUUGUUGUAUCUUGUUUACACAAAAUAAAUUUGAAUGGUUGAGUCCACGUAUCAUUGGUAGAGGCACAAUAAUAAAUUUAUGUUUGAUCAUUAGAAUUCAUGAACUCUGUGUUCUAAGUGAACGGUGGAAAUACUUCUUUAAAAACUGUAACAAACAAUGAUGCAAUGAGAAUGAGGUAUGUAGCAUAUUUGCUAGUUUUUUAUUCCAUUGUUUUGUACUGGUAUAUUUUCAGGGUGCAGGCCACACAGCUCCAGAGUACAAGCCUAAAGAAUGCUUGGACAUGUACAGUAGAUGGCUAUCUAAGAGGGCUUUGUAGGAACAACGAAAUAAGGUCAUUUGCUCUGUUAGUUAGGACUAAACUUGGGAUCUUGUUCGUAGCAAAGUCCGAGGGUAGAUUUUGUUCACCAAUAAAGUUUAAGUUCAUUCUUGGAACAUAUACCUUAUCAUUAAUACUAUAUUGAAGACAAUACAAGAGUUUUGUUUGGAUCAAAAUAAAUGGAUGAUGAAGCUUGUAUGACCGUGUGACUUGUACUGUUUAGAAGAAUUACUUUUUGAACCAAUCGGAUUAAAUAUUGCUGAAAGAAA